GUUCAAGAGGAAUGAAAUGCUAGAUGGGGUAUGGAAGAUAGGAGAGGACCUCCUGAUAGCUCAGCUACUUUGAAAGGCUUUAUUUAUCAGGAUUUUUUGCCCCUGCAUCCCACCAACACCAUCCCCGCUUUCUGAGCUGUGCCUGGCACACUGCACCACACAAACCUUGCACUGCUCACUAACUGUGCCAUGUAUAUAAGCCUCCUCAGCCCGAUGGUGGAUACCUUGAAGAUAGGGACCUAUAUGAUUUGAUUCCUACCCUCCUUAGCACUGACAGAUUUGUCAAGCUGUUCCAGUGGAUAAAUACGGGGGAUGACUGCUGGAACAGCAUCUUGAGGUGUUUAUAUGGCUUGGCUUCUGAUCUUUGACAUUUGAUAACUGAUGAACAUGCUAUUUGAGCCCACCCAGGAGCCAGCCACACCAUGGGGGAGUCUGAACCUCACCCACACUGUGGCCACUCAGGGGAA
rnacentral:lncRNA from 1 species